GUGUGAGAUACACCCUCCUCUUCAUCCUUGGAUUGCUCUUUGUUGUUUUAUACAUAACUUUUACCAUUACAGGAAUGUCUAGACAUUUUGAGACCAGAGAUCCUAUCAUCGUUGAGACAGAGAGCAUUAAAAUCUGAUGUCAAAAUAAUCAGAAUUAUUGAAUUUUCUGGAUAUUGGGGAAUAACCUUAAUUUGUAUCUCAAGUUUUGAGCAUACAUAAAUUUUAAGAAGACUGGUCAUAUCAUGUGUACUUACAUUCAUGCAUUUCAAAAAAUCUUCUGCACAUAGAGAGAUGAUCGUUGUUGACAGUUUUUGUUAUUUGUGAACGUAUAAACCAAAUAAAUUUU
rnacentral:misc_RNA from 1 species